CAAAUCGCUAUGAAAGAACACGAGUAGUGAAAAGGUUCCCUGUUAAAGAGAGCUGAUGGUGGUGUGAAUCAGUACAAAGCCUUUCGCGAAUUACAAUUCUUGAGCAUGCUUUUUUAAUAAAAGCCGGACUUUCCGUUAUGACAAUGAAGGUGGCAGAGAUUGAUCUUUGCUGUCAGGGUGGUAUCGCGAUUAAUUCGUCCCUGCU
rnacentral:ncRNA from 1 species